rnacentral:tRNA from 1 species
CCUCCUAUAGCUUAAAGGUUAAAGCAGCAUCCUUAUAAGAUGAAGAGUAUGAGUUCAAGUCUCAUUAGGAGGA